rnacentral:rRNA from 1 species
GGGGAAUAUUGGGCAAUGGGCGCAAGCCUGACCCAGCAACGCCGCGUGAGGGAAGAAGGCUUUCGGGUUGUAAACCUCUGUCCUUGGUGACGAAGGAAGUGACGGUAGCCAAGGAGGAAGCCCCGGCUAACUACGUGCCAGCAGCCGCGGUAAUACGUAGGGGGCGAGCGUUGUCCGGAAUUACUGGGCGUAAAGGGUGCGUAGGCGGUCUUUUAAGUUGGAUGUGAAAUCCCCGGGCUUAACUUGGGGUCUGCAUCCAAUACUGGGAGACUAGAGUGCAGGAGAGGGAAGCGGAAUUCCUAGUGUAGCGGUGAAAUGCGUAGAUAUUAGGAGGAACACCAGUGGCGAAGGCGGCUUUCUGGACUGUAACUGACGCUGAGGCACGAAAGCGUGGGGAGCAAAC